AAAUACGUUUGUACUGCUGAACCAUCUAGCAGUUAGUUACUGAAUGAAAAUGAUUAGUUACGGAAAUUUUGCAUAUUUAUCUACCGAGAUCUCGCCGGAUUAUCGACCGACUUUCCACUAAUACAGUUAGAACAUUUCACAGUUAGAUGGUACCGCAAAAUCCCUUUAGCGGUUUUUUCAACAGUGUUCAACGUUUACACUUUAUAUAAUAGUUGCCAUAAACUGCUGCUAACAUAUUUUCAGUAAAAUUGCUUCUACAUUUUGAGGAUAGUUUAAAAUUGAUAAUAAAAUGUAUAAAUAAUAGUAAAUUAGUAUAACUACAAUAACAUACUGACAGCGGAAAAACAUCUGAAUAUGAAGGACUUUAUUUUAGAUUACACACACAGAAUUCCACGUGGCAGUAAAUAACAGUAAAAAAGGAACAUCGUCUAACGAGCAACGAAUGAUUCGUACACAUACAUAAACAAAAUACAAUUGCCUGUAAUGAUGAAAUGCAAUUACUAUUUGCACGUGUAAGCUUUCACGUGAGAAGUAAUAUGAAAACACGUGCAACAUUCUGAUUACAUUCUCAGAUCGUUCAUAUCAUAACUAUUGCAAAAUUAAUUUGUCAUUAAGUUUUUAUUUAAUAAACAGAUAGCACUUUAUCGUUUAGCAAUGGAACUUUUGAAAUUUUAUUGCUUAUAUUCACGCGUGCGAGAGGGCAGAAUUAUUAGGAUUACCGAUUCCAAGUGAGGAGGAGUGGAAAGAAACUCAAGCAGAAACGAAUAGUCAUGUUAAUGAUAAUGACGACGACGAAGUGAUUCAAACCUUGCAAAUUAUCUCAAAAAAAAGUAUUGUUAAUAUUUUAAUAAUAACUUAAAAAAUGUGAGGACAGAAAUCCUGGUAUACUUUAUAGAACUUGGAUUCUUCAGACGAAGCUGCUCAACGAAUCGGAGGUGGACUAGAUGAAUUAAACAGUAUUCUCAAUGCAACGCAGAAAAAAAUUAAUAGAUUUAAGGUUGCACAACUGUUGAUGACUCUUUUAAAUAUCAUUGCUUCCACAUUUGCUAUUUAUUUUGUUUCGCUAUAACUUCUAUAAAAUAUAAAUAUAUACAUUAAGAAUCAUUAUUAAAUGAAAUAUAUUUUAUUGUACAAUAAUUUAAAGUAUUAGUUUAUAGAAGAAAAGUAUUUUACAGAAUGUGUGCGGCAGUUUAAGUACUUUAUUGAAGGUAAAAGUGGGUUCUCGAAACAAUACACCGGAUCAUAAACACAUUGAGCAAAAAGACAAUGAAAUAAAAAAUGUUCAUGCUGAAACAUCUAUGGAUGAAGAAAAUCUGACAGUAGAACUAGGAAAUAAUAAAAUGGAUAAAACAGAAACUAAUACAAC
rnacentral:misc_RNA from 1 species